UCAGCGUGCAUAUCAGUGACUUUUUCGUGUGCAUGGUUGAUGAGUGAUUGAAGAAAAUCGAAAUAAUAAUAUUGUCGACGGAUUCCAACAACUGAUUAGAAUUAUGUAAAAAAUAUGCAUUGUUUGUAGUUUGUACGUGUUGUGAAGUGUUGUUUCGAUCAAAAAAAGUGAAUACAUUUCCUGAAGUGCGUAAAUUCAAAAUUCUAGUCAACUCAACAUGGAAGCAGAAGGCGGAGAUUCGGAAAUUGUUUACGGAACGCACGAUGACGCUGCAAUGGUGAUGUCUGAAAAAGUGCAAUCACUAGCCGGUUCAAUUUAUCAGGAGUUCGAACGCAUGAUAUCGCGUUACGAUGAAGACGUCGUAAAAUCACUCAUGCCGUUGCUGGUUAAUGUUCUGGAGUGUUUGGAUUCUGCAUACCAAAACAACCAGGAGCAAGAUGUUGAACUCGAGCUGCUCCGAGAAGAUAAUGAACAGCUGGUCACGCAAUAUGAGCGAGAGAAAAAUGCUCGGAAACAGGCCGAGCAAAAGCUCCUGGAGACGGAAGAUCUGGCCGAACAGGAGAACAAAGAGCUGGCAAGUCGAUUGGAAUCUUUGGAGAGUAUCGUUCGUAUGCUGGAGUUGAAGCAUAAAAAUAGUAUGGAUCAUUCUAGUCGAUUGGAGGAACGUGAAGGUGAACUCAAGAAGGAGUAUAACAAACUACACGAGCGUUAUACAGAGUUGUUCAAAACGCAUGUCGACUAUAUGGAACGUGCGAAGAUCAUGAUGGGAAAUUCUAACCAUUCCCAAGUAAGUGGUGCAUCAGAACGGAUGAAUCUUCACGCAUCGCGGUUGAUGCCCAUUGCCCGUUCGUCUGGUCCCGUAUCCUAUGGGUUUACCUCGCUGGAAAACUCCACCUUGCUCGACUCGGAUGUCGUGUGCAGCGGAGAGAGUAGCAAUGGCUCAGGGCCUCCUUCAUUACAUAAUGAACUAGACCAGGUUGUUACCGCCGAGAAGUCUUCCGAAACGGAGAAAAUGCAACAAGUAAAUCAGGCAACGUCUCCCGAAAGCGAGGCAUCCAAACCGCCGGUUAUGACCAACUCGAUUGGUGGUAAAACGACCACCAAAAAGGAGCAAAGGUCUGGUAAUACUCUCUACCAAGAACUGUCAUUCCAGGACGACACAGUUGAGAGUGAGGAAGCAGAGAUAACUGGCGGAUGGGUGCACCCAGGAGAUUAUGCUUCGUCAGUUAAUGACAAUUUCUUCGGAAUGGGAAAAGAAGUUGAAAACCUAAUUAUGGAAAACAAUGAGCUGCUGGCUACCAAAAAUGCAUUAAACAUCGUCAAAGACGAUCUUAUAGUGAAGGUCGACGAACUGACUGGUGAAAUAGAAAUCCUGCGGGAAGAGUUGAACGCAGUGAUUUUGGCAAGAAAUAAACUGAAAUCCAAAGUUACCGAGCUGGAGGAGGAGCUGAAGAAAACGAAAGCCCAGGUUAAACAAACCACGGUCGACCAAGAAGAGGAAGGUGACAUUCCAAUGGCUCAGAGGAAACGAUUCACCAGAGUUGAGAUGGCUCGUGUGCUAAUGGAGAGGAAUCAGUAUAAAGAACGAUUCAUGGAAUUACAAGAUGCUGUACGCUGGACGGAAAUGAUGCGUGCCUCUAGGGUUGAAAACCUGGACAAAAAAUCAAAGCAGAGCAUCUGGAAGUUUUUUAGUAACCUUUUUAGUUCAGGCGAUAGACCGCCGCCCGAAUCUUCAGGGAGGUUACUUCGAUAUAGUACAAACCAAAGCCCUAGUAUGCAGGGGAUUCCCGAAGCCAGACUUUUCAAUAGUCCCGCUCAUUUUAGCUCUUUGAAAUCUUCGAAUGUGUUGAUUCUUACUAAAGAACCGGAAAUGGCCAAUUCGGAACGGGCCAACCAAAGGAGGCGGGAUCAAUAUAGGCAAGUAAGGGCCCACGUGCAAAAAGAAGACGGUCGAUUGCAGGCAUAUGGAUGGAGCUUACCUUCUACAAAACCUUUAGUUGGUGGAGGUUCUUCUAAAGUAAAUAGCGGUGUUCCUGUCCCUGUUCCUGUCUAUUGUAGACCACUGGCUGAAGCCAGCCCGCACAUGAAAGUUUGGUGUGCCAGUGGCGUAAAUCUCCACGGUGGUUACACCAGAGAUGGUGGCUGUAUGGUUGGUGCAAGCAUAUUCUAUUCUAAGAAAUCCGAAACAAAAAUCACUGAAAUUACUGAGGGAGUAUCAGCAGAAAUAAACGAACUAGAAUCUCUUGAAAAACAACUGGUGUCUAUCAAUAACGCCUUGAACAGUGAAACAGAGCUGAGCUCAUUCGUCUGGAUCUGCACCAGCACGCACUCGGCGAGCACAGUUACCGUCAUCGAUGCCAAAAACCCUGCGGAAGUGCUCGACUCGUUUCCUGUCUGUCAAAACCAUUUACUUUGUAUAUGCACCGUACAGGGUGCAGAGGAGAAGGAUUAUGCCCUUCUGGAAAAUAGUGAAGUUACCAAAGCAGGAGAAAUGUUGGAAAAUCCUGGUACUUCUCCGGAUGAUAUUGGAAAGGUUACUUAUGUAAGACAAGAGCCACUGGUGGCCCAAAAUAAGAGCGAAAAUAUAGUCGAGAGUGUAGAAGUUCAACCUGUGAAUUGUGAUCAAAAUCACAACAAAAAGGAAUCUCCAAUUGAAGAUGCACUAGAACCAAUAGAAAAUUCAUGUGAGGUCAAUACUGAUAAGAAUGAUAACAUAACGGCUGCGAGUGAAGCGGACGCUGAUAAUAAACCGUCCGACGACGAUGAUCCGCCAGUGUCAUCCGUUGGUCCAACAAUGUGGAUGGGCGCUCAAAAUGGAAUGCUGUAUGUGCAUAGUUCCAUUGCCAGGUGGAACGUGUGUUUACAUCGAAUUAAACUGCCGGAUUCUAUUCUAUCGAUAGUGCAUGUAGAGUCCCGAGUUGUUGUGGCAUUAGCAAACGGGUCGCUCGUGGUGUUCAGGAGACAAAUCUGUGGCGAAUGGGACGCUAAUAAUUAUCACAUAUUGACGCUAGGAUCACCGAAGCACUCGAUUCGAUGCCUAACCAUAGUCGGAGAUAAAGUAUGGGCUGCGCAUCGAAACAGGAUUCACGUUAUAGACCCUAUCACUUUAACCGUACUACAUUCGUUCGAGGCGCACCCCCGGAAAGAAAGUCAAAUACGUCAGAUGGCAGCCACUGGCCUGGGCGUAUGGAUAUCCAUUAGAUUGGAUUCUACAUUACGGCUUUUUUCAUCAGAAACAUAUGGACAUAUACAGGAUAUCGAUAUUGAACCGUAUGUUUCCAAAAUGCUGGGAACAGGAAAGCUUGGAUUUUCCUUUGUUCGAAUAACGGCUCUCUUGGUGUCCUGUAAUAGACUGUGGAUUGGUACAGGAAAUGGUGUUGUGAUAUCAGUACCACUCAGCGACUCCAGUGGUGCUAUGUCGAGUAAUAUGUUACCAAGGUGCUGCAUGGCGAAUGCCCAAUUGUCUUUUCAUGGUCACAGAGAUGCGGUGAAGUUCUUCGUAGCAGUUCCAAUGAACCCAGAAAAUCAGAAUCAGUUUCCAUGCAAGAAGGACAUGUUGGUUCUGUCAGGUGGAGAGGGAUACAUUGAUUUCCGGCUAGAUGUGUGGUUCUUGUGCAAACCAUCGGUUAUAUUAUGAUGACAUUGCUUUCAGUAUUUGGAAGUUGGCCGAUGGAUGAACCUCAAAACUAAAGAAAGAAAAACUGAAAAAGAAAUUUGAACGUACUCCGUACGUAGCUCCGGAUGAUGUAUGCUGCUUAUUGUUAUUUCGGACCAUUUACGUCAUUUAUAUUUAUCGGUGACGGUGAUAUGGAGAACAGUGUCGAAAUAGAAGCCGAACAAUCUACCGGAAAUCAAAACGAAAAAAGCUUUAUUAUAGUGUGGCAAGUAAACAAUGCAUAACGUGCUUUAUAAUACUGAUACAGUCGAUAAGAGAUUGGAUCAAUGUUUUAAGUUAUUACAAAAAAAGUUAAACUGACGGGAGGUUAUGCAUACAGAACAUAAGAAGCGGUAGUGAGGUUUUAGUACUAAUUUAUUAUUUUUAUUCUUAAAGUGAAACCGCUGUUCUGAAUAACUGUCCCUUUUGAGGGAAUGUUUUAUGUUAUUUUUCUCAAACACAAGUUUUAAAAAAAUAUAUUCCUGGUUUGAAUAUUAAUAUAGUGUACCUUCAUAAUACAUUUUUUGAUGUUUAAAAGUUAGAAAGUCUUGUUCCUCUUAUGUACAACAGAGGUAAACAAAGAAAAAAAUACUUGAGGUAAGGAAUGGAAAAUCUAUUUAUAAUAUGUGCUUGUUAACCAAACUAUAGUUCGACAGAGGCUUAAUAUUAGGCGCAAUGACUACUCUCAAGUAACCUCCAAUAUAAAUUUUAACUAGAGCAGUCGUCUUUGAUAAAUUAUUAUUAAUAUACUUUUCAGUUCAGCAAGUGUAAUCAAGCUGUAUUGCUGAAUAAAACCUAUUUAUUUAUUUUUCCGUGUUAAACAUCAUGAAGUGUAAAAUUGAGGUACAAUAAUGAGUUAUUUUCGUUGUUCGUUAAAAGCCAGUUAAGUCACAUUUGCAAGAGAAUGCAGUAGUGGCCAAGGUAGUACAGGAAAAAAAUCGAAUAAUUUAGCAUUUGGGCAUACCUCUGCAUGCACACAAAUAAAAAGUCAUGUUUGUGUAUUUUAUUCUCAUUAUGACGAUAUUCCAUGAAAAUACGAUUUUGCCAUUGUCUUUUCAUGCUAGAAUAAUUGGCAAGAGUGAGAAUAUCGACACAGAAAACAAUAAACUGCUUCAUACAAAUUUGAAUAAAAAAAUAACUGUUGUACAUAUGAAUCGUAGAUGCUAGUCAUAUAUCGUAAAAUAGGAAGGUUCCAAUAUAAUAAAUGUAAAUAUUACGCAAAAUUCUGCAACUCGACUUAAAGGUGUUAUGAAUUACUAAGAACAGCAGUUUUCUAAUGAUGCCGGAUAAUUCUGGCAGUAGGAUCAAAAUAAAGCGUAUUCGAUACCCA